CGUGACGAUGGCGGGGAAGCUGAACGCAGGCGUCGUAUAAAAAACUAUUGGGCAUAUUGAAUCGAAAAGUAAUCCAAGCUGAGGCAAUGAAGAUUUAAUUAGUUUGGAUUUCUUGUGUGUGUGGUGUUUGUGGAAUCGUUUCCCGUACGGGCUAUCUAAUAGCCCGUGACGUCACAUGGCGGGAACCCCUGCGCGAGCUAAAAGGGAUUUGGACCCAAUCGCCUUUCUAGAAGUUGACAGCAACGGAUAGAGAUGUACAGAGUUUUUCAAUACACAUGCAUUUUGCCGGAAAAUGAAUCUGACUUCACACCACGAAAUUUUAACAGGAAAAAGACAAUUUGAUGAGCUUUCAUUCCAGAGGUCUCUCGUUGCUGAACGAAAAUUCGGGCUGGAACAUAAACAUUACCGCCUAUGGAAAAUGGAGCUCCAUGCUGGAAAGUGCACAAGGCCUCCAAAUCCAAAAUAUGACUAUGGAAGUUUUAUUGCCCAGACAUGUGAUUGUCUAGAACCAAUUGGAUGAUGCGUUAUAUAGAAUAUUCAUAUUGAGGUAAAAUAAUUUAUGAAGGUAUAAUAAUAUAUGAUAUUGUGUCAAACCACACAUUAAUAUAUGAUAUAAUGAUAAAGAUUAAAAACUAUGAUUUUCAUAGAAUAUGAUGAGAGUGAUCUCGUAAAGGUAUUGCCCCAUCUCAGUGAGUUUUGUACUGAUGUUGAUACAACCACUUUGGUCCCUAUUUGCAUUUCACGCGCAAAAUCGUUUUUUAUGCAAAUUCUCCCCCUUAGCCAAGUUGGUUAGGGGGAGUUUCUCCCACAUAG